AGUUCGAUUAUGGCUCAGAUUGAACGUCAUGAUGCUUCUAUACAUGCAAGUCGAACGGCAGCACGGACUUCGGUCUGGUGGCGAGUGGCGAACGGGUGAGUAAUGUAUCGGAACGUGCCUAGUAGCGGGGAUAACUACGCGAAAGGUAGCUACUACCGCAUAAUACGCCCUUCGGGGGAAAGCGGGGACCUUCGGGCCUCGCACUAUUAGAGCGGGCUGAUAUCGGAUUAGCUAGUUGGUGGGGUAACGGCUCACCAAGGCGACGAUCCGUAGCUGGUUUGAGAGGACGGACCAGCCACACUGGGACCGAGACACGGCUCAGACUCCUACGGGAGGCAGCAGUGGGGAAUUUUUGACAAUGGGGAAACCUGAUCCGUCAUCCGCGUGCGAUGAAGGCUUUCGGGUUGUAAAGCACUUUUGGCAGGAAAGAAAUGGUACGGGGAUAAUACCCCGUGCAACUGACGGUACCUGCAGAAUAAGCACCACACUACGCUGCGCAGCCGCGGUACGGUAGGUGCAAGCGUUAAUCGGAAUUACUGGGCGGAAGCGUGCGCAGGCGGUUCGGAAAGAAAGAGGAAAUCCCAGAGCUUAACUUUGGAACUGCAUUUUUAACUACCGCUAGAGUGUGUCAGAGGGAGGUGGAAUUCCGCGUGUAGCAGUGAAAUGCGUAGAUAUGCGGAGGAACACCGAUGGCGAAGCGCAGCCUGGGAUAACACUGACGCUCAUGCACGAAAGCGUGGGGAGCAAACAGAUUAGAUGGGCCCUGGUAGUCCACGCCCUAAACGAUGUCAACUAGCUGUUGGGGCUUCCCGGGCCUUGGUAGCGCAGCUAACGCGUGAAGUUGACCGCCUGGGGAGUACGGUCGCAAGAUUAAAACCUCAAAGGAAUUGACGGGGACCCGCACAAGCGGUGGAUGAUGGGAUUAAUUCGCUGGAUGCAACGCGAAAACCUUACCUACCCUUGACAUGGUUCGGAAUCCCGAAGAGAUUUGGGAGUGCUCGCAAGAGAACCGGAAACACAGGUGCCGUAUACGUCGUCAGCUCGUGUCAGAGAUGGGUUAAGUCCCGCAACGAGCGCAACCUCUUGGUCAUUGCUGCUACGAAAGGGCACUUCAUCGAGACUGCCGUGGACAAACCGGAGGAAGGUGGGGAUGACGUCAAGUCCUCAUGGCCCUUAUGGGUAGGGCUUCACACGUCAUACAAUGGUCGGGACAGAGGGUCGCCAACCCGCGAGGGGGAGCCAAUCCCAGAAACCCGAUCGUAGUCCGGAUCGCAGUCUGCAACUCGACUGCGUGAAGUCGGAAUCGCUAGUAAUCGCGGAUCAGCAUGUCGCGUAAUACGUUCCCGGGUCUUGUACACACCGCCCGUCACACCAUGGGAGUGGUUUUACCAGAAGUAGUUAGCCUAACCGUAAGGAGGGCGAUUACCACGGUAGGAUUCAUGAUCAGUGAAGUCGUACUGGCGGUAAC
rnacentral:rRNA from 1 species